rnacentral:rRNA from 1 species
CAACAACGGAUCUCUUGGUUCUGGCAUCGAUGAAGAACGCAGCGAAAUGCGAUAAGUAAUGUGAAUUGCAGAAUUCAGUGAAUCAUCGAAUCUUUGAACGCACAUUGCGCCCUCUGGUAUUCCGGAGGGCAUGCCUGUUCGAGCGUCAUU